AGACCGUGUUCCCGGAUCUUGAUUCUCACACCUAUACUUCCUUUCUCUUGUUUACGCCAGUGCUGAGGACCAUAGAGAUAAUUAGAUGCUGGCACAAGGAACAUGGCGUGUGUGAGAGACACUCCAGUGUAACCCAGUUUCGAACCCUUCUGCCUCCUCACAGGUGAGGAGAGAAAAUGUUUAGAGUGUUCUCAAGUCACGUGACAGCAUUUGAGGUCACUGCGGAACAUGAUACAACACGGUGUUUCCAGAGUCGCAUGUAAUCCUGCCAUGUGUAGACGCGAAGACAGACAAUGAGCAGCGGAACAGAGAUCAGCCUCAUCCCCGG